AUGGCGCUGCCGCACCGAGAGCCGGAGCCCGAGCGGCUGGGGAGACGGGAAGAGGCGUCACCGGAUCCUACCCUCGCCUCCGUCACCGGAAGUGCGCGCCGGCGCCAGCCCCUGUUCCCGGAUAUUAAGACUUCUGCAGGUUCCCGCCUGAGGGCGGGGCUAGAGCCGGAACCGAACGGCGACCGACGGGCCUCGGGGCGGAAGCCCCGGGCGGAGCCAGCAGGGUUUGGUUUUUGCAGGGACAUUGAAAAUUUAAGUAACUUGCUCAGGUCACACAACAGCAAGCAGAGGAAUCAUGGCCUGAAUGUAGGCAGCAGCCUGCUUCCACCGCGCUAAAGGCUCGGACAAUCAACAGUGAACUGCCUGGUCCUUUGCUGUAUUUGCAUAAAUGUAAAUAUCUUUGGAAUUUUUUCCCAAGCUCUCUUUAUAAGAAAUUUGGGACAAAGAUUAGGAAGAGAAUUUCAUUAUUGGUUUCUUGCAAUCUUAUGUCAUGGCUGAAUUGCGUAUAGGAGAAAAUAUUCAAUGACUAUUACAUCAGUGAAGUUUAAUAUUCUGGGUCUAAUAUCUGUAUAUAAUAACCUUCGAGAAUGAGUAUAGGAUAGCAUUUUAAAAUUUUCUUGUCUGUGAGAAAAACAAAUGAAGAGGUGUUGUUUGCAUAAUAUAUGAACUACAAAAAGUAAGUAAUGGAUAAAGACCCAGAAAAAAACCCAUAUUUGUAAAGUCAGAUUAUUUCCCGAGGAGCUAUCAAGUCUGAGGAAAAUUCUUAUCAGUUAUUUUGUAGUUACAAAAAUAUUAACCCAUUAAAACUACAUAUUUAAAAGAAUCUAGUUGUAUUGUAGUAAAGGCUAAAAUAUAAAAGAAAAAUUCCAAUUAUGAACAAAAUCUAAUUAAAUAUUUCUCUGGCCUUGUCACUUCUUUCCAAAGAAGAAAACAGUUGUCUUCCUUAUGGCCACUGGGGCUUCUCAUUUGCAAUGAUUUUAAUAAAACACUUCAAAUGGUUGUCA
rnacentral:lncRNA from 1 species